rnacentral:rRNA from 1 species
AACGAACGCUGGCGGCAUGCCUAACACAUGCAAGUCGAACGAAACCAAGGCUUCGGCCUGAAGUUUAGUGGCGCACGGGUGCGUAACGCGUGGGAAUCUGCCCUUGGGUUCGGAAUAACUCAGAGAAAUUUGAGCUAAUACCGGAUGAUGACGAAAGUCCAAAGAUUUAUCGCCCAAGGAUGAGCCCGCGUAAGAUUAGCUUGUUGGUGAGGUAAAGGCUCACCAAGGCGACGAUCUUUAGCUGGUCUGAGAGGAUGAUCAGCCACACUGGGACUGAGACACGGCCCAGACUCUACGGGAGGCAGCAGUGGGGAAUAUUGGACAAUGGGCGAAAGCCUGAUCCAGCAAUGCCGCGUGAGUGAUGAAGGCCUUAGGGUUGUAAAGCUCUUUUACCAGGGAUGAUAAUGACAGUACCUGGAGAAUAAGCUCCGGCUAACUCCGUG